UACAGAGGUCUCAACCGUUGUUCGGAUUCAUUGGGCGUAAAGGGUGCGUAGGCGGGUUUCCAAGUCAGUGGUGAAAGCUCCGAGCUUAACUCGGAAAUUGCCAUUGAUACUGGAAGUCUUGAAUUCAGUUGAGGUCGGCGGAAUGUGUCGUGUAGUAGUGAAAUACUUAGAUAUGACACAGAACACCAAUUGCGAAGGCAGCUGGCUAACCUGACAUUGACGCUGAGGCACGAAAGCGUGGGGAUCAAACAGG
rnacentral:rRNA from 1 species